AACGAACGCUGGCGGCAGGCUUAACACAUGCAAGUCGAACGGAUCCUUCGGGAUUAGUGGCGCACGGGUGAGUAACACGUGGGAACGUACCCCUUGGUAAGGAAUAAUAUUUGGAAACGAAUACUAAUACCUUAUAAUAUCUUCGGAUCAAAGAUUUAUCGCCAAGGGAUCGGCCCGCGUCUGAUUAGGUAGUUGGUGGGGUAAUGGCCUACCAAGCCUACGAUCAGUAGCUGGUCUGAGAGGAUGAUCAGCCACACUGGGACUGAGACACGGCCCAGACUCCUACGGGAGGCAGCAGUGAGGAAUAUUGGACAAUGGGGGAAACCCUGAUCCAGCCAUGCCGCGUGAGUGAAGAAGGCCUUAGGGUUGUAAAGCUCUUUCAAUAGUGAAGAUAAUGACGGUAGCUAUAGAAGAAGCCCCGGCUAAAUUCGUGCCAGCAGCCGCGGUAA
rnacentral:rRNA from 1 species